UACGUAGGGAGCAAGCGUUAUCCGGAAUUAUUGGGCGUAAAGAGCUCGUAGGCGGUUUGUCGCGUCUGCCGUGAAAGUCCGGGGCUCAACUCCGGAUCUGCGGUGGGUACGGGCAGACUAGAGUGAUGUAGGGGAGACUGGAAUCCUGGUGUAGCGGUGAAAUGCGCAGAUAUCAGGAGGAACACCGGUGGCGAAGGCGGGUCUCUGGGCAACAACUGACGCUGAGGAGCGAAAGCGUGGGGAGCGAACAGG
rnacentral:rRNA from 1 species